AGAGGAGAGGUGAGUUAGAAACAUGCACAGUGUCACGUAGGUGAUGAGUGUUUUGUGUGUCUCUUUAUUGCGGUGACUUGUUUUGAUCACUUGUAUGUUUGAUUGAUUGCUUUGUGACACAUUGAAGACAUUGGACUUUGAUCAUUUACUCAUAUGUGUCUUUUAUUUGUUUCAGGAGGUUCACAGAGAUUAGUUGCAACAAGAAAACGCUAUGCAUGGUGUCAGAGAUUUGCCGUAGAAGCAGAGCUUCUUCUUCUUCUUCUUCUUCUUCUUCUUCUUCUUCUUCUUCUUCUUCUUCUUCUUCUUCUUCUUCUUCUUCUUCUUCUUCUUCUUCUUCUUCUUCUUCUUCUUCUUCUUCUUCUUCUUCUUCUUCUUCUUCUUCUUCUUCUUCUUCUUCUUCUUCUUCUUCUUCUUCUUCUUCUUCUUCUUCUUCUUAAUGGAAUUUCACCUAAAAAAAAAAAAAAAAAAAAAAAAAAAAAAAAAAAAAGAGUCCAAACUGCAUUGUCGUCAAUUUUUCUGAAAAACAAAGAGUAAAGUGUGAAGAGAGAGAAAAGUAGGAAAGAGGAAAAGAGUAAAGUGUGAGAAAAAAGCAAAGAGAGAAGAGAGGAAAAAGAAGAAAGUUUAAGGAAAGAACAAAGAGAAAAAGAACAAAGAAAAAGAACAAAGUGUGAAAAUAGCAAAGUGAGAAAAGAGGAAAAAUAGCAAAGUGUGAAAAAAGAGGAAAAAGAACAAAGUGUGAGGAAAGAGGAAAAAGAACAAAGUGUGAAAAUAGCAAAGUGAGAAAAGAGGAAAAAUAGCAAAGUGUGAAAAAAGAGGAAAAAGAACAAAGUGUGAAAAUAGCAAAGUGUGAGAAAAGAGGAAAAAGAACAAAGUGUGAAAAUAGCAAAGUGUGAGAAAAGAGGAAAAAGAACAAAGUGUGAAAAUAGCAAAGUGUGAAAAAAAGAGGAAGAAGAACAAAGUGUGAAAAUAGCAAAGUGUGAAAAAAAGAGGAAAAAGAACAAAGUGUGAAAAUAGCAAAGUGUGAGAAAAGAGGAAAAAGAACAAAGUGUGAGGAAAGAGGAAAAAGAACAAAGUGUGAAAAUAGCAAAGUGUGAAAAAAGAGGAAAAAGAACAAAGUGUGAAAAUAGCAAAGUGUGAAAAAAGAGGAAAAAGAACAAAGUGUGAAAAUAGCAAAGUGUGAAAAAAGAGGAAAAAGAACAAAGUGUGAAAAUAGCAAAGUGUGAGAAAAGAGGAAAAAGAACAAAGUGUGAAAAUAGCAAAGUGUGAGAAAAGAGGAAAAAGAACAAAGUGUGAAAAUAGCAAAGUGUGAGAAAAGAGGAAAAAGAACAAAGUGUGAAAAUAGCAAAGUGUGAAAAAAAGAGGAAAAAGAACAAAGUGUGAAAAUAGCAAAGUGUGAGAAAAGAGGAAAAAGAACAAAGUGUGAAAAUAGCAAAGUGUGAGAAAAGAGGAAAAAGAACAAAGUGUGAGGAAAGAGGAAAAAGAACAAAGUGUGAAAAUAGCAAAGUGUGAAAAAAGAGGAAAAAGAACAAAGUGUGAAAAUAGCAAAGUGUGAGAAAAGAGGAAAAAGAACAAAGUGUGAGGAAAUAGCAAAGUGUGAGGAAAGAGGAAAAAGAACAAAGUGUGAAAAUAGCAAAGUGUGAAAAAAGAGGAAAAAGAACAAAGUGUGAAAAUAGCAAAGUGUGGGAAAAUAGCAAAGUGUGAGGAAAGAGGAAAAAGAACAAAGUGUGAAAAUAGCAAAGUGUGAAAAAAGAGGAAAAAG
ensembl:lncRNA